GAUGUUUGUUUGAAUUGGCCUGAUAACCUGUUUAUGACUAUAUAUCAACUGACCCGAUUUUGUCUGCAGUAUCUCCAGGUCAUAUGUCUGUGUACAUUAUAUAUACACCAAUAUAUACCCAUUGUGUAGACAACACUCUACUUAGUUAACAGGGAUAGACACGCACAUCUGAAGCUAUAGGGUCAAGUGUAGAUAUAUAGGUUGGACAAAUGUUAUUCAUAUAGACCUUAGCUGUCCUUGGGCUUGUGCCAUCUAUGUUUAUUGACAUAAUAACACAAGUGUGCUGACAAUAUUGGAAGUUAAGUGCUGAUAAAGGGGAUAAUGGGGGACAGAAACCAGGUGCUAUAGUCAGAGUGACUGUGUCAAGUCUUAUGUCACCUCACCCCUGAGGGGAUUGCUCCCCCCCCCCUCCCACAGUUAAGUUUGUCCACUUACAAAAAAAAUUCUUCAUUAUUUGGGGUAUAUUAUGGCCAUUACUGUAUUGUGCUAUUAUUAUCUAUAUUAUUAAAUUCUUAUAAAUUUAAGGCUCAAAACUUUUAUCCAGCCAUCAUUGUUUUGGUCAGUUUGAACUUCAGCUGGAUUUGAUUAAAAGCUGAAGUAUAAAUUACAUGCAACUCCAUUUUCUUGAUGAUGUUUGGCAAACCAGGAAGGUGUGAAAUACUAACCAACCCUGUAGAGGAUUGAUCUAAGAAACCUGUUAACCAAGUGCUAAAUACCAUCAAAGAAAAUGUGUUUAAUGAACAUGGACAAACUUCCUCAUCAAUGAAUGGCACCCUUCAAAGGGAAACGGUGAGACUCCAUGCAGACUGGAAAGAAUUUCUCACCAAGUACACAAAGACUUGAUACUCUGAUUGCCCCAGGAGUUUAUUUUGUGGAUGGUUCAUUAGCACAACCAAAAUUAGUGGGGGGCCCUUAGGGGGCUAAUUUUAAGGAUGAUAGGAGUUAGCAAUGUGACAAUAAUAAGCUUUCUCUGUGGUGCUUUGCUUUUGAUUGUUACUGCUUGUUAAAUAUAACCAUAUAAUCAAUACUGUUGAAAUAAAUUACUAUGAUGAU
rnacentral:misc_RNA from 1 species